CUUGAAGUGGUGAUAUUUCCAGUGAAUUUCUCAUUUAUUAUUGUCUUUAUAAUCUGUACAGGUAAUGAGGAAAUUUGAAACAUAACAUAUAUACACCUGCCCUAUGUACCUCACAGGAUAAUUGUGAAGAUCAGCCAAGAAGAUGAGUAAAUGGUACAAACUUGACAAACUGUAAGACAAUUGAAAUACCAUAAAAAACACCAGGCUGGUCUGGUUAGGAGGAGAAAUCUUGCAUUCAAAUUGAACAAAACCCUGAGAUCCCAGGACAAGUAGGUUUGGCUGCUCCUCUCAUCUACCCUUGUGAUCUGGGCCAGAGAUCUGAAAACUAUGGCCCAGGGGCAAAAUCCUGUCCACACUCAGUUUUUGUAUGAUCUAUGAGCUGGAAAUACUUUUUAGAUUUUAAGUGGUUCAACGAAAAAAUAAGAGAUUUCAUGACCCAUGAAAAUUAUAUGAAAUUCAAUUUUCAGUGUACAUAAAUAAAGUUUCUUUUGGAACAGAGUAGCACCAAUUUACUUACUUAUCCAUGGAUGCUGCAUGCUAUGGCCGCAAAGUUGAGCGGUUGCCAUGAGACCAUAUUGCCCACAAAGCUUCAAAUACUGGCUAUCGUGGCCGUUUACUGAAACAAUCUUCUGACUCUUGAUCUAGGCAACUUCAGCUCUUCACAUCUUGUCUUGGCCUCAUGGGAACUUUAUUCUAGAGAAUUUUUUUCCCAGUUGAGCUUAAGUGGUUAGAAAUACUGCCUUUUCCUAGUAAUUAGGCUUUAAAAAAUGUUUUCAAAACAUUCCAGAACAUUGUAAACAGGUCUACAAUGCAAUGUUUGCUAACUCACAAAUAUGUGUUCUGGUAGGUGCUCAGUCGGCGAGACAGAGGACCUUCUUGGGCAUCAAGAUCUGCUCAAAGUUUGACCCCUCUGGGCUUCUGUUUCCUCAUUUAUCAUAAUGAGGAAAACUGGAUGAUUUCUGAGGCCCCAUUCUACGUUUCUACAAUGGCUUGUGUUAUUUUAAAGGCACCGAGUGAAGAAAUUGCAAGUCAUACAGUGGAAGUAUGCACAGAAAAGAUUUCAACCUCAAAUAAAAUCUGGCACUGAAGUUUCACUCUUCUCAUGGAACAAAUGUAUCAAGACUUGGUCAGAACUGAAGGCCAGAACACUUUCAAAAGUGAAGGGUUGCAAGCUAAGGAAUGGUAGCUGUACAAAAACCUACCCAAG